GAUGAACGCUGGCGGCGUGCCUAAUACAUGCAAGUCGAACGAAACUUCUUUAUCACCGAGUGCUUGCACUCACCGAUAAAGAGUUGAGUGGCGAACGGGUGAGUAACACGUGGGCAACCUGCCCGAAAGAGGGGGAUAACACUUGGAAACAGGUGCUAAUACCGCAUAACCAUAGUUACCGCAUGGUAACUAUGUAAAAGGUGGCUAUACUACCGCUUUUGGAUGGGCCCGCGGCGCAUUAGCUAGUUGGUAGGGUAAAGGCUUACCAAGGCAAUGAUGCGUAGCCGAAUUGAGAGGUUGAUCGGCCACAUUGGGACUGAGACACGGCCCAAACUCCUACGGGAGGCAGCAGUAGGGAAUCUUCCACAAUGGGCGAAAGCCUGAUGGAGCAACGCCGCGUGGGUGAAGAAGGUCUUCGGAUCGUAAAACCCUGUUGUUAGAGAAGAAAGUGAGUGAGAGUAACUGUUCACGUUUCGACGGUAUCUAACCAGAAAGCAACGGCUAACUACGUG
rnacentral:rRNA from 1 species